AUUAAAGCUAACGGCGGAUGCUUGGCAAUGUAAGCCGAAGAAGGACGUGUGUAUGAGCACGAUAUCAUCGAUGAGCCCUCAGACAGGCAUUAUCAAUCGGUGGUUUCCGAAUGGGACAACCCCGGUCGUAGCAAUACGACUGACCUUGUUGAUUUAUCAGCAGGGAGGGAACCCGGUGAACUGAAACAUCUAAGUAACCGGAGGAAAAGAAAUCAAUAGAGAUUCUGUGAGUAGCGGCGAGCGAAAGCGGAGGAGCCUAAACCCUAAUCAAGUAUAGGGUGUUGCGGGACAGACAAUAUGGGAUCAUAUGUUGUUAGAUAAACGUUCUGGAAAGGACGGCCAUAGAAGGUGACAGCCCUGUAGUCGAAAACAACAUGUGCCUUAGUCUGAUUCCCAAGUACCACGAGGCACGGCAAACCUUGUGGGAAACUGGGGCGGUCAUGCUCCAAGGCUAAAUACUUACAUUGACCGAUAGUGAACAAGUACCGCGAGGGAAAGGUGAAAAGUCCCCCGGUGAGGGGAGUGAAAUAGUACCUGAAACCGUUAGCUAACAAGCAGACAGGGCUCCAACGCAAGUUGGGGUGAUGUCGUGCCUAUUGAAGAAUGAGCCAGCGAGUUUUUGACGGCUGCAAGGUUAACCAAUGUGAGUUGGGAAGCCGCAGCGAAAGCGAGUCUGAAUAGGGCGUUUAGUAGCUGUCAAAAGACCCGAAACUAGGUGAGCUAACCAUGAGCAGGGUGAACCUUGUCGAAAGACAGGGGGAGGCCCGCACCCGUUGUCGGUGAAAUGACUUGGGAUGACUUGUGGUUAGUGGUAAAAUGCCUAUCGAACCUAGAGAUAGCUGGUUCUCCCCGAGAUAUAUUUAGGUAUAGCCUUUUCGAGUAAGGUGGGGGGUAGAGCACUGGAUAGUCCUAGGAGCCUUUGGUAACUAGGAUUAACCAAACUCCGAAUACCCACUGUUCAAAUCGAAAGGAGUCAGGCUUGCUCGGAUAAGCGAGUAUGGUCGAAAGGGAAACAGCCCAGACUCCCAUCUAAGGUCUCUAAAUCAUUGUUAAGUGGUAAAGGUUGUGAGGUUUCAAAGACAGACGGGAAGUUGGCUUAGAAGCAGCCACCUUUUAAAGAAAGCGUAACAGCUCACCGUAAUAUACUCCGAUUCGUCGGAGUAUGAGACCUUGCGCCGAAAAUGAUCGAGGCUCAAACAAUGUACCGAAGAUGGAGAUUUCUAAAUUUAUUUAGGAGUGGUAGGGGAGCUUUCUGUAUGCAGUGAAGCUGUCGCUGUAAGGCAUGGUGGAGCGUACAGAAGUGAGAAUGCUGGCAUGAGUAGCGUAUACUCCAGAUGAAAAUUCUGGAUGCCGAAAAUCCAAGGUUUCCUCAGCAACGUACAUCGUCUGAGGGUUAGUCGGAUCUAAGUUCGUUCCCGAAUGGGACGAGUCGAUGUACAAGCCGUUAAUAUUCGGCUACCAAGUGCAAUGCGUUAUUACCAUAACGGUGACGAAAUAUGAUAAGCAGUGCCUUCUAUAUGGGGGUUUAAGCAGCAACGCAAGGAGCUGUGAAUACAAUCUUGACGCAAGUCAGGAAAGAUUGCCGCGUUAUGUUUCCGGGAAAAGCUGUUGUGGGAGUAUUGUAUUUGUCCGUACCGCAAACCGACACAGGUGGAUUGGUCGAGAAGACUAAGGCAAUCGAGUAAUGGUGGUUCAAGGAACUCGGCAAAUUAGCUGGACGUAACUUAGGGAUAUGUCCUCCCCGUAUCGCAAGAUAUGGGGCGCAGCAAAUGACUUUCAACUGACUGUUUAGCAAAAACACAGCUCCCUGCAAACCGGAAACGGGAAGUAUAGGGGGUGAGGCCUGUCCAGUGCCGGUAAGUCAAGAAUUGGGGUUGAGUCCGAUUUAUUUCGGACAAGGCUCUGAUUUAAGCUCCGGUGAACGACAGCGGUAACUCUGACCGUUCUAAGGUAGCGUAGCCCCUUGUCGGGUAAGUUCCGACCUGCAUGAAUGGCUUAACAAGUUGAAAACUGUCUUGAACUACUGCUCGGCGAAAUUGAAAUGGCUGUGAAGAUGCGGCCUUCCUGCACCUGGACAAGAAGACCCCGGGAGCUUUACUGAAACUUAUUAUUGAUAAGAGGCUUUUAACUGUUUAGCGUAGGAGGGAGACUUCGGUCACCAAUGAAACACCUCUCUUUAAAAGCUUUGAGUCUGACCCACCUUAUGGCGGGGACAGUAGUAGGUGGUCAGUUUAACUGGGGCGGUUUCCUCCAAAAAUGUAACGGAGGAGCGCAAAGGUCGGCUUAUUCCGGAUGGAAAUCGGAAUGUAUGUGUAAACGCAAAAGCCGGCUUAACUGUGAGGGAAACAUCCCGAUCAGAUUCGAAAGAAGGCGUUAGUGAUCCCCCGAUCGGCUAUGAUUGCCGGCGGGGCUUAACGGAUAAAAGCUACCCCGGGGAUAACAGGCUUGUCUCCCCUGAGAGUUCAUAUCGACGGGGAGGUUCGGCACCUUGAAGACGAC
rnacentral:rRNA from 1 species